rnacentral:rRNA from 1 species
GCUGUGAGGCAUGCUGGAGGUAUCAGAAGUGCGAAUGCUGACAUAAGUAACGAUAAAGCGGGUGAAAAGCCCGCUCGCCGGAAGACCAAGGGUUCCUGUCCAACGUUAAUCGGGGCAGGGUGAGUCGACCCCUAAGGCGAGGCCGAAAGGCGUAGUCGAUGGGAAACAGGUUAAUAUUCCUGUACUUGGUGUUACUGCGAAGGGGGGACGGAGAAGGCUAUGUUAGCCGGGCGACGGUUGUCCCGGUUUAAGCAUGUAGGCUGGU